ensembl:lncRNA
AGUGUGGGAGGCGCAGCUCCAGUACUUGCUUUCUUGAACCUGUGUGAUGCACAAGAUGUUGAUCCAACCGCACAGUGAGCUCUGCAGGGUGGUCAGGACGGCUGGAGACGUGGAGGACGGGGCGGGGAGCCAGGCUCACCAGUGAUCUCCUGGGCGAGGCGUGGGGCGCCAGGAGGGACCGAGGCCGACCACCAAGCUGUUCUCAAACGCUGAAGGCCAGGCAUUAUUUUAGUUCUUUGUUCUUUGUUUUUUCUUAGUAGUAGUUCUGAUUUUCAUUCUGCGAAAUUUUGCCAAAGCUGUGAUUUGAGACAAUAUCUUGUGUCAUCCGAGUAGUUGGCUGUUUUUGACCCUAUUGCUGCUCCUGCUACUAUAGUUUAUACAUUACUCAAUAAGUUGAAAUGUAAACUGAAGAGUUUGAUAUUUGUUACCGCUUUACAAGUGCAAGGGUGUUUGUUACCAGAUGUUAGACGAGCUACCACGUUUGUUACCAGACAUGGAGGUGAAACCACCUGUUUGUCACCAGACAUGGAGGUGAAACCACCUGUUUGUUGUCCAGAAUAGGACCCGUGGUGGAGGGCAGCUAGUGGGGAGCAGUGCUGGAGGACCUGCUGGGAAGGACAUCCCUCGUUGGGGUAAAGACACCCGUCUCUGAGAUGUGAAGGCUGCAGAGGACCCACCAGGAUCCCCUUGGAGGACAACAAAUGGACUACGUGAGGUCUUUGGAAGCACUACAGUUCAGAAGGCCUUCCAAAGAAUGAAGCCCAGCCCCCAUGGCUCAGCUAGUGGCGUUCACCGGACCAGGAACCCCGAGACCUGAAGGAGGAGCCGUGUAUCCGGAUGAACACCAUGAGCCUACCCGCCAAGUAUUACUCUGAGCUCUGCAGGGUGGUCAGGACGGCUGGAGACGUGGAGGGCGGGCGGGGAGCCAGGCUCACCAGUGAUCUCCUGGGCGAGGCGUGGGGCGCCAGGAGGGACCGAGGCCGACCACCAAGCUGUUCUGAAACGCUGAAGGCCAGGCAUUAUUUUAGUUCUUUGUUUUUUGUUUUUUCUUAGUAGUAGUUCUGAUUUUCAUUCUGCGAAAUUUUGCCAAAGCUGUGAUUUGAGACAAUAUCUUGUGUCAUUCGAGUAGUCGGCUGUUUUUGACCCUAUUGCUGCUCCUGCUACUAUAGUUUAUACAUUACUCAAUAAGUUGAAAUGUAAACUGAAGAGUUUGAUAUUUGUUACCGCUUUACAAGUGCAAGGGUGUUUGUUACCAGAUGUUAGACGAGCUACAACUGUUGUUACCAGACAUGGAGGUGAAACCACCGGUUUGUCACCAGACACGGAGGUGAAACCACCUGUUUGUUACCAGACAUGGAGGUGAAACCACCUGUUUGUUACCAGACAUGGAGGUGAACCACCUGUUUGUUACCAGACAUGGAGGACCCGUGGUGGAGGGCAGCUAGUGCGGAGCCGUGCUGGAGGACCUGCUGGGAAGGACAUCCCUCGUUGGGGUAAAGACACCCGUCUCUGAGAUGUGAAGGCUGCAGAGGACCCACCAGGAUCCCCUUGGAGGACAACAAAUGGACUACGUGAGAUCUUUGGAAGCACUACAGUUCAGAAUGCCUUCCAAAGAAUGAAGCCCACCCCCCAUGGCUCAGCUAGUGGCGUUCACCGGACCAGGAACCCGAGACCUGAAGGAGGAGCCGUGCAUCUCGAAGAACACCAUGAGGCUACCCGCCAAGUAUUACUCACUUCCACGAGGAGGGGGACUGUCGGCUGGAGGACCUCCCUACUGGUGGAGCGAGUGACACCCGGCUCUACAGGGAAGACCACGGUGGAGAGAGGGCUGAAGCUGUGCAUCCUGAAGGGGAAACAGGCGCGGUUGAAGUGCUGUGUUCAGUCUGGGAAGGACACACCUGAGCUGUUUCACCCUGAGCUGCUUCACACCUGCAUCUCUAACCAGCUGAAGCCCUUCAGUGACCAACAAAAGGUCCCUCAUCACAGCUUAUCAUCGCUGGCCUGAGGAUUCAUCCUACACUCACACAACGUGACUUUGUCACCAUCUGCUGCACGUUGGGAUGCUAACGUGUUCCACCAGGGGUUCCUUCCUUCCCGCAGUGGGAGUGUUCCUUGUCCUUCAAGGAGUUAGGGUUCAGUGUUAGGGACAGAGUUAGGGAGAGAUGGUUGAGUCCUGGCUGGUUUACGAUGAACUGCUCUAACGCUUUGCCAAAAUGUUUCAAUGUGCAAACACUCACAAACACAUACAAUGUAUAAUAAGUGUUUAUGAAAUAAAUUCUGUUUAUAAUUCUGCAUGUUUGUGUGGGGGUUUUAUUACCAUUAAACAAUUUUCUCUCACCGCAACCUCCCC